UUCUGUCCCAUGGUUCCCCUGGGGUUCUGCAUGGAAUGUUGGGCUGUGCCUGUAGCAACUGCCCUUGUCUGCUGAUCCUGCGGCCGUUGGUGGAACACUGGUGGAGCAGCGCUGGAGCAGCAGCUGCAGCAUCUGCUCCUGGCUGUCCCUCAGCAGCCACCUUCUGCACUCGGCGCCACAGCUGGCAUCUGCAGCGACAUCCUCAUCUCCUCGUCUACUGCCAAGCAUCCCCACAGCACUUUGGCACUGUGCAAGGUGGAAAGGAGAGGCACAAUGAAAAGGAAAGCAAGAGCCCACACUGAGCCGUGAGUUUUGGCCUAGGGUUAAAGGACAGCAAACUUGAGGAACGGCGAGCAGGACAACUGCUCCUUCAGAGCCAGGGUGGGAUUGGUCCAAGGCUGUGGCUGCACGCCAGGUGUCUCUUGACCACUUGCCUUUCUUACGUCCUACUCCUUCUUCCUCUAGACACAUCAAUGUUGGCAGUGACUUUCAGGCUGAGCUCCCUGAGCUGCAGACCGGGCCGCCAAGUGAGGAUGAAGAGCCUGCAACCCUGGUCUGGAAGCCCUUGGAGGAAGACGACUCUGACCUGGAAAAACCAGACAGAGUCAGAGAACUGUUGGACAUGGCCAGCUCCCGUGGCCUUCCCGGGGCAGCAGCUCAGCUGGAGCUCGCCCUGCACUGCCUGCACCAGGCUCGUGGCAGCGUUCCGGUAGGAAGCG